rnacentral:rRNA from 1 species
AUAUCGAUCAGCGGUGGAAAAGAAACCAACUCGGAUUCCCUCAGUAACGGCGAGUGAAGUGGGAAUAGCCCAGCCCCGAAUCGCUUCGGCGAGUUGUGGGGUGUAGUCGGGUCAUUUCGAUUGAGUUUUUAGCAUCUAAGUCCCUUGGAACAGGGUGCCAUAGAGGGUGAAAGCCCCGUGAGGUGCAAUACUUGGUCUCCUUUGAUCCUGACUCUGAGUAGUGAUGUUUGGGAGUACAUCACUAAUUGGGUGGUAGACUCCAUCCAAGGCUAAAUAUUAGACGAGAGACCGAUAGCGCACAAGUA